GAUGAACGCUGGCGGCGUGCCUAAUACAUGCAAGUCGAGCGGACGGACGAGAUGCUUGCUUCUCUGAUGUUAGCGGCGGACGGGUGAGUAAAACGUGGAUAACCUACCUAUAAGACUGGGAUAACUUCGGGAAACCGGAGCUAAUACCGGAUAAUAUUUUGAACCGCAUGGUUCGAAAGUGUAAGCCGGUCUUGCUGUCACUUAUAGAUGGAUCCGUGCUGCAUUAGAUGGUUGGUAAGGUAACGGUUUACUAAGGCAACGAUGCAUAGGCGACCUGUGAGGGUGAUCGGCCGCACGGGAACGGAAACGCGCUCCAUACUCCUGCGGUAGGGCGCAGUAGGGAAUCGUCCGCAGUAGUCGAGAGCCUGACAGAACAAGCGGGCGUGAGAGAUGAAGAUGUCCGGUUCGUAAUACUGGGUUAUUAGUGAAAAACAUAUGUGUAAGUGACUGAAGACAUCGUGACGGUACCUAAACAGAAAGCCACGGCUAACUACGUA
rnacentral:rRNA from 1 species